GUACACAAAAAUGCACAUACUGUGAGCUCGAUGAGUAGGGCGGGACACGUGGUAUCCUGUCUGAAUAUGGGGGGACCAUCCUCCAAGGCUAAAUACUCCUGACUGACCGAUAGUGAACCAGUACCGUGAGGGAAAGGCGAAAAGAACCCCGGCGAGGGGAGUGAAAAAGAACCUGAAACCGUGUACGUACAAGCAGUGGGAGCCUCUUAAUGGGGUGACUGCGUACCUUUUGUAUAAUGGGUCAGCGACUUAUAUUCUGUAGCAAGGUUAACCGAAUAGGGGAGCCGAAGGGAAACCGAGUCUUAACUGGGCGUUAAGUUGCAGGGUAUAGACCCGAAACCCGGUGAUCUAGCCAUGGGCAGGUUGAAGGUUGGGUAACACUAACUGGAGGACCGAACCGACUAAUGUUGAAAAAUUAGCGGAUGACUUGUGGCUGGGGGUGAAAGGCCAAUCAAACCGGGAGAUAGCUGGUUCUCCCCGAAAGCUAUUUAGGUAGCGCCUCGUGAAUUCAUCUCCGGGGGUAGAGCACUGUUUCGGCAAGGGGGUCAUCCCGACUUACCAACCCGAUGCAAACUGCGAAUACCGGAGAAUGUUAUCACGGGAGACACACGGCGGGUGCUAACGUCCGUCGUGAAGAGGGAAACAACCCAGACCGCCAGCUAAGGUCCCAAAGUCAUGGUUAAGUGGGAAACGAUGUGGGAAGGCCCAGACAGCCAGGAUGUUGGCUUAGAAGCAGCCAUCAUUUAAAGAAAGCGUAAUAGCUCACUGGUCGAGUCGGCCUGCGCGGAAGAUGUAACGGGGCUAAACCAUGCACCGAAGCUGCGGCAGCGACACUAUGUGUUGUUGGGUAGGGGAGCGUUCUGUAAGCCUGUGAAGGUGUACUGUGAGGUAUGCUG
rnacentral:rRNA from 1 species